UGGCUAAAAGUUUAUUGCAUUCAGUUUUAUGGAAUGUAUAUCCAUUUAAAGUAUAUAUGAAAUGAAGUAAUAUCUUUUUGUUUCAUUCUAGGUUCAGGCCACGUUUUCUCAGAUAUUCUCUUCAGAAUAAAGAAAAUAAGAUAGGAAGAGGGGAAGUGGGGGAGACCUGAAGCAGGCAAGACUUCUGUUUACCUUUAAAAAAGCAUUCCACUUGCAUGCUGGUACCCAGAAUGUCUGAAGAAUCACAGGCUGUUUAUGGACCUUUGCUUUUAUGGACAUAACUUCCACUCUUCACAUCCAGACAGUCUCUGCUCUAGAAUUCCAGUGUGAAAGAAGAGAAGUGUCUGUGCACAUUUUUGUGUCAAGAUCAGAGUGGAGGGUGAUGCUGUCCAUGCUGUGGAGGAGUAUGCUAUACAGGCUGCUGACCCAGGGCAGAAGAUAUUUUGCUGAGGAAAUCUGUCUGGAGCCCUUGGUGACUGCUUUUCAGAGCUUUUGUUCUGCCAGAAUGAGGAAGAAAAGGAAUGGAUGUGAAAGCAAACAUGCAGCAAGCAAAUGGACCGGAGGCCAUGCUGGGAACACCUGGCCUCGCUUCUUAGCAAGGAUACAGAAACACUUGGAUUUCCUGAGAUGGGACUCCUGGGCAAGAUGGGCAAGAUAA
rnacentral:lncRNA from 1 species